rnacentral:rRNA from 1 species
AUCUAUGGCCAUGUCUCCCUGAACAAGCCUGAUCCUGUCUGAUCUUGGAAGCUAAGCAGGGUCGGGCCUAGUUAGUAUUUGGAUGGGAGAUCACCUAGGAAGACAAGGUGCUGUAGGCG